GACGAACGCUGGCGGCGUGCUUAACACAUGCAAGUCGAACGAAGUGGCGAACGGGAGAGUAACGCGUAAUCAACCUGCCCUUCAGAGGGGGACAACAGUUGGACACGACUGCUAAUACCGCAUACUGAAGGAGGGGUUUGCGUCUGAUUAGCUAGUUGGCGGGGUAACGGCCAACCAAGGCGAUGAUCAGUAGGCGGUCCUGGCGGGUGGACGGGCACAAUGGGACUGAGAAAAUGACAAGACUUCUGCGGGAUGGAGCAAGGGGGAAUCUUCCGAAAUGGAGGAAAGUCGGACGGAGCAACGCAGGGGGAGUGAUGACGGGUUUCGGGUUGGAAAGCUCUGUUAAUCGGGACGCGGUACCGGAAUAGAAAGCCACGGCUAACUACGUGCCAGCAGCCGCGGUAAUUC
rnacentral:rRNA from 1 species